CAGGUGAGUUUUGGGGUCCCCCAGGUGAGUUUGGGAUUUCCCAGGUGCCCCCUCAGGUGAGUUUGGGACCUCUCAGGUGAAUUUUGGGGCCCCCCUAAACCCCCAAACCCCAAAACCACUCCCGGGGUCUCUCAGGGAUGAGUUUAAUGCAGCAGCAGCAGCGGCAGCGGCAGCCAGGUGAGUUCAGGUGUGCCCAGCUGUGCCCAGGUGAGUCAGUGCAGCAGCGACAGCCCCAAAAGAUGCCCAAGGAACCCCCAAAAAAUCCCCCAAAAAAACCCGAAAAUGUUCCCCCAAGCCAAGCAGCAGUGCCCAGGUGUGCCCAGGUGAGUUCAGCAGUGCCCAGGUGUGCCCAGGUGUGCCCAGCUGUGCCCAGGUGACCCCAAAUUGG
ensembl:lncRNA